AGAGUUUGAUCUUGGCUCAGAUUGAACGCUGGCGGCAGGCCUAACACAUGCAAGUCGAGCGGAUGAUGGGAGCUUGCUCCCGGAUUCAGCGGCGGACGGGUGAGUAAUGCCUAGGAAUCUGCCUGGUAGUGGGGGACAACGUUUCGAAAGGAACGCUAAUACCGCAUACGUCCUACGGGAGAAAGCAGGGGACCUUCGGGCCUUGCGCUAUCAGAUGAGCCUAGGUCGGAUUAGCUAGUUGGUGGGGUAAAGGCCUACCAAGGCGACGAUCCGUAACUGGUCUGAGAGGAUGAUCAGUCACACUGGAACUGAGACACGGUCCAGACUCCUACGGGAGGCAGCAGUGGGGAAUAUUGGACAAUGGGCGAAAGCCUGAUCCAGCCAUGCCGCGUGUGUGAAGAAGGUCUUCGGAUUGUAAAGCACUUUAAGUUGGGAGGAAGGGCAGUAAGUUAAUACCUUGCUGUUUUGACGUUACCAACAGAAUAAGCACCGGCUAACUUCGUGCCAGCAGCCGCGGUAAUACGAAGGGUGCAAGCGUUAAUCGGAAUUACUGGGCGUAAAGCGCGCGUAGGUGGUUUGGUAAGAUGGAUGUGAAAUCCCCGG
rnacentral:rRNA from 1 species